rnacentral:rRNA from 1 species
GUGGGGAAUUUUGGACAAUGGGCGAAAGCCUGAUCCAGCCAUGCCGCGUGCAGGAUGAAGGCCUUCGGGUUGUAAACUGCUUUUGUACGGAACGAAAAGACUCCUUCUAAUAAAGGGGGUCCAUGACGGUACCGUAAGAAUAAGCACCGGCUAACUACGUGCCAGCAGCCGCGGUAAUACGUAGGGUGCAAGCGUUAAUCGGAAUUACUGGGCGUAAAGCGUGCGCAGGCGGUUAUAUAAGACAGAUGUGAAAUCCCCGGGCUCAACCUGGGAACUGCAUUUGUGACUGUAUAGCUAGAGUACGGUAGAGGGGGAUGGAAUUCCGCGUGUAGCAGUGAAAUGCGUAGAUAUGCGGAGGAACACCAAUGGCGAAGGCAAUCCCCUGGGCCUGUACUGACGCUCAUGCACGAAAGCGUGGGGAGCAAACAGGAUUAGAAACCCCUGUAGUCC